UUUCAAAUAGAACCAAAUGAAUCAAAAUUUUGAAAGCAAAGAAUACAUACUGAAUUCCACCCAAAUGCUUCUAACCCCUUGUUAGCAGUCUAAAAGAUAUGCUUAACAUGCCAUGUCAAAUACACUAAUGGGUUUGGUUGUAUUGGAAAGUAAAGUGAUAGUCACUCACCUUUGUGUAGCAACAAGAAAGAUGAGACAAGUUGAUUCUUUUCUUUGAGACUGAGAAUCAUGAAUUCAUUCCUCAAAAACCCUAAAUCCACAAAUUAAUUUCAAUAAAAACCCUAAACAGUUUGCGACAACGAAUAUUGAGAAAUUAGAGAAUCAAAAACUCAAAUUCAUGACAGUGACAAAUUAAGGAUAAAUCUUACCUGCAGAUUCAGAGUAUAUGACUGAUUAUGUUCUUGGGCGUAAAUCGCGCCCUUUUUCCAAAAUUUACGUUUUAAUGAAACUGGUUAUGUUCUUCUCGGUUUGUAAUGUAUAAAAUGAAACGAGCGGUUUUGU
rnacentral:lncRNA from 1 species